rnacentral:lncRNA from 1 species
AUGAAUUGUCAAUUAAGAAGCUUUAAGGGGACAGAAGCAGGGAGAUGCUGGCUUUAAAUUUAAACAAGGGGAAAUGAAAAGGGGAAAAAGGAAGGCCAGAAAAAGGCAACCUCUUUUCCUAAAUUUAGAAGGCCUUGACAUCUCUGGAAAAACAUGCUGUAUGAGGGUGCACAAAAUUCUGCAGGGAGAGAAACUGACUUAAACAAAUAAUUCUAGGGAAGCACUCCAUUUUGAAGCCAAAUUCCCUCUGGACUUGGGGCACAGGGCCACCCCUGGAGGCCGCGUGAGAUGAGGAAUGAGGUGCUGGGCGCAUACUGGGCUUUAUUUUCAGAAUAUGUAAAAUGUGUUCUACCAUUUUAUUCUAGAGAUUUGGAAGAAGG